CUUUUGCAUAACCUCAGUAGAUAAAGCAUGCUGAGGUCAUGUCAGGUCAUUUCAAGCUCUUCUGUGUCGAGCUGAGGAACUGCUCUGUGCCCGGCUUACAGAACUGGAAGGGGUCGCCACCUUCCGCCUGAUGGAGGCUGGAGAAUGGAUGGAACCUGGAUCCCUGGAGCCUGGGACACUACCUCGCUGCGGUUGGUGGUGGCAGCAGACCAGUAGGAGGGCGGUUGGCAGCGGGAGCUUCUUCUGCCGGGCUGGAGGACUAGGAGAAGGAAGAGGGACCGCCACAUGCUGGAGGCUGGAGCCUGUGCCACCGUGGCUCACCUCGCUGUGGUUGGUGGCGGCUCGCCUUGCUGUGGUUGGUGGUGACGUCGGAGACUGCAGCUCGGCCACAGUGGUAGAAAUGUGUUGGGGUAGAUGGAGCCGGACUGUGUAGAACAAAUAAUUACAGAAACAAAGAAAACUUUUGCUGUGUUGGGCACUUGCUCCCAUCUGCUUUCUUCU